rnacentral:lncRNA from 1 species
GCCACAGAUAAAUUCAGUCACUUUGUGAUAAGCCCACACUCCAAAAUGAUCAAUUUAUUCAUGCAAGAAAGGCCCUCUUUACUAGAGAUAAGUGAUAAAUUUAGGAUUUUGAAUGAGAAGUAAUUAAAUGGUAAUUAUAAAGAUAAUAAUGUUACAUAUAAAAUUUUAUAUUUCUAAUAAUAAAAAAAAAUAAAUAUUGAGAGAUCACAGCUGUCACCACAUGUCACCUCUUGGCUCUGCCCAUCCUACGUAGCUAACUUAAAUAUUAUUCUUUUAGGGUCAUUUGUUUCUUUCAAUCAAUAAUCCCACCUAACUGAACUGCGGUGAAUGACUUGAUGCUGAGACCUGCUCAAAGCCUACAAGCCAAUGGUACAAUGAACUUCGGAGUUGGGACUAUGUUACAUUGCUCGGACAAGUCAUAAGCCACAUUAAUGGACAUUUCAAGUUCAAUCUACCAAUUGGCCAUUUCACCAAUGUCCUAUUACUUUCAGCUUACCCCGUAAUCUAGGGGAUAUAGAAGUUGAAGUUGUUCUUAACAUGGCCAUGAUCUCCAAGGUUGACUAAGUCUUGCCAUUGUCACUGGUAGCCUGAAGCCCACCAACUUGGUUCUGAAGCAACAGGGUGAUCGUGCUAGGGUCCGUGUGGCGCUUGAGCCCGACGGUGAGGUAGGGUUGUGGACAUUUGGGAUAGAAAUUGACCACCACUUUCUGAUCCAUGUCCAUGCUUACCUUAGUCAAAGCCUCCUUGUCUAAGUCCAUGGCCUCUGGCAACACUUCAAGAAGCUUGCAGGCUAGGCCCAUCAGCUUGUCGCUGUACUCCUUUGUCACUUCUACCCAUCCCUCUGGCUUAUCGGGCCACCUUGAAUAGUCCCGGGCCUUGAGUGGGUAUGAAAAGUAUGCCACAAGCUCUCGCCAGUGUUGCACUGCUUCUCCCUGUAACAAAGAUCAACGUCAUGGAUGGAGGUUAUUAAAAACAAAAUUUCAUGUCUCUGUUAUCUGUUGUUCAACGCAGAUUUAUCAUUAUUUUAAUAAACCAAUUGCGUAUUUCACGGGAGAAAAAAACCAAUUCAUAGCUAAUAAGAUACUUUCAAUGAUAGUCAUAGAAAGAAGCUAUAUGCCCUGGGAAGACCAGAUAAGUCAACAGCAACUAGCAAACAGUCCUAUUCAACCCAAAAAAGGGCCAAAAGCAAAGUACCUUAAGGUGGUUGGAGACGAUGAAGCCACCCUUCUUGGCACCAGACAUAUCAAAGCGAAGCUUCUCUUAAGCAGACAAAGCGAAAAACUCCCUGGCAUCAACGAAGAUACCCCAAUUCUCACAAGCCUCGACGAUUUUCUUGCGUAUCUCAGCCCUCUUGCCAUCAACGUCAUCGAUCCCAGCGAGAGAGAUCACGGGAUUUCGUUGUUGAAUUUGUUGUAAGCAACCUUAGGACGCUCAUCUUCAUCACGAACAAAGCUUGCCUGUAAGGUUUUCUCUUCUGCAAGGGCAGUGAUAGUUGAAGGAGCCAUUAACGCUGAACCUGGAAACAUUCUCCUGGUUUUAAUGGGGCAUGCGUUAAAUAAGUAUUUAUCUUCCUUAACAAGGAAAGUUAGCGUAGAAUGCGAUAUAGCUGUUGAGUAGAAGAGGAGAUUUAUAUAAACAUAAGCAAGCUGUUUGGAAGGUGAAAAACUGAAAAUUAAGAAACAGGGAAGGGCGUGGCAGCCCCAGCUACCCUUCAAAGCUCGUGAGUAACCUCGCACUAAAUCCCCUCUCCCUCCCGUGCCCCACUUUCUUGCCCGGUUAAUAUAAUCACGUCAUGUGUACUAUGUUUUUAACGACGUUUGAAGGGUUAGUAAUCGACACGCCAAGUAACUCUGUGGAGAAAAGCCCGCACUUGGUAGGUCUUGCUACCACUUCCGCUGCAGCAACCAUAGUAUUAUUUUCCAACGCCGCCUCUUACAGCCAUGGACUCUCCAAUCAGGAAAAAGGUUUGCAUCAUCGGCAGCGGCCCCGCUGCCCGUACGGUCGCCAUCUACACCGCCCGUGCUGAGCUGAAGCCCAUUCUCUUCGAGGGCUGGAUGGCUAACGACAUCUCCCCUGGCGGUCAGCUGACCACCACAACCGAUGUCGAGAACUUCCUUGGAUUCCCGGACGGCAUCAUGGGCAUGGAGCUUAUGGAUGUGCACCACUCUGCAACGAGAAAAUUUAUCGUAUGGUCCAUCUUUAGAUGAAUCUUCACCUUUUCUCCUGGAAGAACUGAGAAAAUUAGAAAACACAUGCUCUUGCAGGGGAGAGACCGAGAACUCUUCAACCUCACUUAGACUCCUGAAAACUUGGUGACAUGGUUCUUCAGAAAAAAAAAAAAAACUAAUGUAAAAUACAUGAUGGCGACCCUCUUUAAUUUCCUGUACUUGCACCACUCUGCAAGACUUAUUAUGAAAAGGAAACAAACUGCAGAAUAUUUACAAUCACUGGCUUAUCAUCUGCAGUUGCUCCGUUUGUAUACUUUCCAUAAUAAUAGUUCAUAUGGCAAACUGAAAUACCUUUCCUUUGUUGAUCUGGAUCGUUUUUUUUUUUUUUUAUUAGGUUCUUCUCUUGGUCACUUCCUGAUUCUUGCACUAGAGGAGGCAGAGGAUUUCUGUUCCACACACACAGCCAGCUACCAGCCUUUCUUUCCUUGGUUUCUGUUUUUCAUUCUAGAUAUUCUAACACUACAAAUAUUCUAUAUAAUUAUAUUGUUUUAUUUUUAAAAGAAUCAAUUUAUGUAAUUAUCUUAACAGAAAUAAUUGAUAUAACUUUUUUUUUAAAUCAAUUUGUAUAAUUAUCUUAACAAGGGAAUUUUGUAAAUUCCAAUUCACUCCAUAAUUUUUGGAUGUUUCUUCUUGUAGGAUCAUUGAUAUAUUAGUGGACCAUGAGAAGAAGUUUGAGGUGUUGGGAGUGUUGUCACAGUGUGUAUCCCACUUAGUCACUUACCAUAAAUAAGGCAAGGACUAUUAGUAUUUAUGGUAACAUUUAGAUAUAUUUUGUGGUGAAUUUAUUCAUACAAAAGAAAACUAAAGAAAAGGGUUGAGAGAAUCUAUAAUUUGCUUUUAUUUGAUGUACCGUAAUGUAUAAUACUUUUACACUAUCAUUUAAUUAUAAAAUAUAUAUAAUUUCAUAAUAAUUAUAAAAAGAUAAAAGUUCAAUUUUUAAAAAAUAAUGAGUAUUUAUUUUUUUUAAGAUUUUCAAUUUUUGAUUACAUUGGGAAAAAGAAUAGUUGUUAAAAAUUCUUUAAUAGAAUGUAAGGUGCAUGCUCCAAGUAUGAAAUGAUUACCAUUUAGAUAUCCUUGGCUAUGAAUCUAUGAUCACAUAAAAUCAUUAUAAAAUUAAUCAAGAGAUAAUAUUUUUUUUCUCGAAAAAAAAUUAUCCAACAUUUUAAUCUCUAUUAAUUAGAAUACCAUUUAGAAAAUCAUAUGCACCAGCGCAGGGAAAGCAAGAACAUUCCUGCUGUUUUACGGCCAAAUUUCACUUGAAAAGGGAGUUUUUCCGGGAAUGAGACGGGAAAAACUUUUAGUAAUAUUUGUUUCGUGCCCCUUGGGACUCUUCUUCUCUCACACUUUAAUUAUUGGCUUUUGGGGUUGUAGGUGAGGAUGUGAGAUGCUUCUCAUUAUAUGAAAAUGAUAAGUAUACCUCAAUCACAAUUUGAAUUGAAGCAACAAAGCUAGGGGCUAGUAAGGAGUUGAGGCAGUGGCUUUUAUUUUAUUUUUUACUUGCACAACAUAUUGCUACAACAAAUGAAAGGGGGCACCACCAUAAGAAGAGUAGUGCAAAUGCAUUAAAACUAGUAAGCACAAUGGAAAACAAAACAGUCGCAAUUGUUGUGGCAUUAACACGACCAGUAAACUUAAUAAAGGUUUAUGCAAGGAUUUUCUCCAGAGGCUUGGCUUCCAGUUUGGUUUUCUCAAUCUCCUGCACCUGCUGCUGCUCCUUGGCCAGCUUCUUUAGCCUGGCAAGCUCCAGAUCCUUGCUCAUCUUCCUCCUGUACAUCUCAGCAAAUGUGAUGGGCUCCUCGAGAAUUGGUUGCUCUCCCUCCCUGAUCCUGAGUGGGUACACGGUUGCAUCCGGUGCUGGGUUUUGGAAUGUAGCUAUGGACAAUCUGCUGCAGUCUGAGUUCACCACAGCUUGGUGAUCAGCGUUCUUGAACCUCCCAUUGCUCAGAAACUGCUCAGCACAGGUAAAUUCAGUCACUUUGUGAUUACCCCACACUCCAAAAUGAUCAAUUAAUUCACAUAUGGAAACUCCUCCUUGCAAGAGAUCCUACCUAGCUACCUUAAACAUUAUUCUUUUACAGAGUGUCAUUUGUUUCUUUCAAUCAAUAAUCCUACCUAACUAAACUGCGGUGAAUUGAUUGAUGCUAAGACCUACUCAAAGCCUAUAAGUCAAUGGUACAGUGAACUAGAUAGUUGGGACCAAGUUACAUUGCUUGGACAAGUCAUAAGCCACAUUAAUGGACAUUUCAAGUUCAAUCUACCAAUUAGCAAUUUCACCAACGUCUUAUUACUUUCAGCUCAUCACGUAAUCAAUAGAGCAUAGUUAGGCUUGCGGGUGUAGAAGUUGAAGUUGUACUUACAUGGCCAUGAUCUCCAAGGUUAACCACAAAGGCCCCUUCAACAGGUUGAACAGUGAUCCAAGUCUUGCCAUUGUCCCUCGUAGCCUGAAGCCCACCAACUUGGUCCUGAAGCAACAGGGUGAUUGUUCCAGGGUCCGUGUGGCGCUUGAGUCCGAGGGUGAGGUCGGGUUGUGGACAUUUGGGAUAGAAAUUAACCACCACUUUCUGGUCCAUGUCCACGCAUGCCUUAGUCAAAGCCUCCUUGUCUAAGUCCAUGGCCUCUGACAACACUUCAAGAAGCUUGCAGGCUAGGCCCAUCAGCUUGUCGCUGU